UUUUUAAAGACAAAGGGUGGUCCCCUCACCUGCAGCUUCCCCCUUCCGGCUACCGCCUCCGUCCGCGCACUCGGGAGGCCCCACGAUGGCACUGCCUCCUCCGCCACCGUGA